rnacentral:tRNA from 1 species
UAGCUCAGUGGUAGAGCAACGCACUUGUAAUGCGUAGGUCGUCAGUUCAAUCCUGACG